rnacentral:rRNA from 1 species
AUUGAACGCUGGCGGAAUGCUUUACACAUGCAAGUCGAGCGGCAGCGCGGGGCAACCUGGCGGCGAGCGGCGAACGGGUGAGUAAUGCAUCGGAACGUGUCCAUGUCGUGGGGGAUAGCCCGGCGAAAGCCGGAUUAAUACCGCAUACGCCCGAGAGGGGAAAGUGGGGGCCCGCAAGGCCUCUCGCGAUUGGGUCGGCCGAUGUCCGAUUAGCUAGUUGGCGGGGUAAAGGCCCACCAAGGCGAUGAUCGGUAGCUGGUCUGAGAGGAUGAUCAGCCACACUGGGACUGAGACACGGCCCAGACUCCUACGGGAGGCAGCAGUGGGGAAUUUUGGACAAUGGGGGCAACCCUGAUCCAGCCAUUCCGCGUGAGUGAAGAAGGCCUUCGGGUUGUAAAGCUCUUUUGUCCGGAACGAAACGGAUGACGUGAAUAUCGUCGUCUACUGACGGUACCGGAAGAAUAAGCACCGGCUAACUACGUGCCAGCAGCCGCGGUAA